GACGAACGCUGGCGGCGUGCCUAACACAUGCAAGUCGAGCGGAGAUAGACUGAUGGUAACUGAAGCUUAUCUUAGCGGCGGACGGGUGAGUAACACGUGGGCAACCUGCCUUGGAGUGGGGGAUAACACCGGGAAAUCGGUGCUAAUACCGCAUAACAUACACAAACUGCAUGGUAAGUGUAUCAAAGGAGUAAUCCGCUUUAAGAUGGGCCCGCGGCUGAUUAGCUAGUUGGUAAGGUAACGGCUUACCAAGGCGACGAUCAGUAGCCGACCUGAGAGGGUGACCGGCCACACUGGAACUGAGACACGGUCCAGACUCCUACGGGAGGCAGCAGUGGGGAAUAUUGGGCAAUGGGCGAAAGCCUGACCCAGCGACGCCGCGUGGGUGAUGAAGGCCUUCGGGUUGUAAAACCCUUUCGUGUCGGAAAGAAUAGUCUCGUAGCGAAUAACUAUGGGAUUUGACGGUACCGCAGGAAGAAGCACCGGCUAACUCCGUGCCAGCAGCCGCGGU
rnacentral:rRNA from 1 species